rnacentral:rRNA from 1 species
UACGGGGGGAGCAAGCGUUGUUCGGAUUUACUGGGCGUAAAGGGCGCGUAGGCGGCCACGACAAGUCACUUGUGAAAUCUCCGGGCUUAACUCGGAACGGUCAAGUGAUACUGUCGGGCUAGAGUGCAGAAGGGGCAACUGGAAUUCUCGGUGUAGCGGUGAAAUGCGUAGAUAUCGAGAGGAACACCUGCGGCGAAGGCGGGUUGCUGGGCUGACACUGACACUGAGGCGCGAAAGCCAGGGGAGCGAACGGG